rnacentral:rRNA from 1 species
UACAGAGGUCUCAAGCGUUGUUCGGAUUUAUUGGGUUUAAAGGGUGCGUAGGCGGCUUAUUAAGUCAGGGGUGAAAGACGGUGGCUCAACCAUCGCAGUGCCCUUGAUACUGAUGAGCUUGAAUACACUUGAGGUAGGCGGAAUGUGACAAGUAGCGGUGAAAUGCAUAGAUAUGUCACAGAACACCAAUUGCGAAGGCAGCUUACUAAGGUGCAAUUGACGCUGAGGCACGAAAGCGUGGGGAUCAAACAGG